UACAGAGGUGGCAAGCGUUGUUCGGAAUUACUGGGCGUAAAGGGCGCGUAGGCGGUUCGAUAAGUCCCGUGUGAAAUCCCUCGGCUCAACUGAGGAACUGCACGGGAAACUGACGGGCUUGAGUUCGGGAGAGGGAAGCGGAAUUCCGGGUGUAGCGGUGAAAUGCGUAGAUAUCCGGAGGAACACCGGUGGCGAAGGCGGGAUCUCUGGGCCAUUACUGACGCUGAGGAGCGAAAGCGUGGGGAGCGAACAGG
rnacentral:rRNA from 1 species